rnacentral:rRNA from 1 species
UACGUAGGGUGCGAGCGUUGUCCGGAAUUAUUGGGCGUAAAGGGCUCGUAGGCGGUCUGUCGCGUCGGGAGUGAAAACCAGGUGCUUAACACCUGGCUUGCUUUCGAUACGGGCAGACUAGAGGUAUUCAGGGGAGAACGGAAUUCCUGGUGUAGCGGUGAAAUGCGCAGAUAUCAGGAGGAACACCGGUGGCGAAGGCGGGUCUCUGGGCAUUACCUGACGCUGAGGAGCGAAAGUGUGGGGAGCGAACAGG